rnacentral:lncRNA from 11 species
CCCAAAUGUCAGAACCCUCAAAGAGAGAUCUUGUGCUCUGGAUUGUGCAGAAUCUCAAGGCAUUCAAAGAGUCCCCCAAGGAGCCCAUUGAGGAAUGGAUCCAAUCUGCGUGGGGCUCGUUUUUCCAGGAUGCCACCUUAGAAGAAGUGAAGUCCACCAACAAAGACUUUGAUCCCGU